rnacentral:lncRNA from 1 species
UCCGGCUCCCAAUCCGGGAGAAUUCUGAUGACAGUGCAGUUCGACGGACUAACGUCGUAACAAAGAGUUUGGGGAAAGAGAGGAAACCUGAUGCAACCCGACCAAGACCGGAGCUGGAACGUCCGCACGACCAGUUCGCACGAGACGGGGGACCAGGAGCAACGACUUCGAUUAUUUUUUAUUCUGUUGUUAGUUAAAUCUCUGUGUAGUUAGAAUAAUGAACUGAAAAUAACUGCUUAGGCCAACAAUGUAAUUAGAAAACAAAUAUAAAUACUAAGGAGAUCGCAGGAGUCGAUAUCCAUUUUUUUGAGAAAGUAAUUCCAGUUUCCCUCUCCGGCUCUUUAAUUAGGGAGACAUCUUUUCCAACCUCCGACUUCCGUUCUGGAAGAUUUCCUCCAACGACUCGUCGACGACGACAAGUAACGUGUUACACCUACUUUUGGAAUUGCAAAUUAGUAAGAUGGGGGGAGAGCUGCAACAAAUCAAAGCUACUGUUACAAACAACUUGAAGUGGACUGCAAUAUAGGAAGAAGCGAUGUUAUUUCGUGCAAACUAGAACCAUUUUGCGAUUAUUUAAUUUGGCCGCCAUGAAGUGAUAUAUCAAAAACAUAAAAGAAUAUAUGGACAUUUAAAAAAUAACAUACCUAAAUAAGGAUGUUUUACCUUGACAUAUGCUCACAAAAGAGCUGAUGACUGUAGAUGUUGAAGGGAAAAAGGUGUGGAAACAGUCGGCGGCUAUUAUUGAAGACUAUUUUACAAAAAUUAAAAAAUAUAUAUAUUUAGAUGAAAUUGUCAAAUCUGAAAAAGUUUUAAAUUGAUAACAAUUCA